rnacentral:rRNA from 1 species
ACGGGUGAGUAAUGCUUAGGAAUCUGCCCAGUAGUGGGGGACAACAGUCGGAAACGGCUGCUAAUACCGCAUACGCCCUACGGGGGAAAGCAGGGGAUCUUCGGACCUUGCGCUAUUGGAUGAGCCUAAGUCGGAUUAGCUAGUUGGUAGGGUAAAGGCCUACCAAGGCGACGAUCCGUAGCUGGUCUGAGAGGAUGAUCAGCCACAUCGGGACUGAGACACGGCCCGAACUCCUACGGGAGGCAGCAGUGGGGAAUAUUGGACAAUGGGGGCAACCCUGAUCCAGCCAUGCCGCGUGUGUGAAGAAGGCUUUCGGGUUGUAAAGCACUUUCAGCGAGGAGGAAGGCCUUAAAGUUAAUACCUUUAAAGGAUUGACGUUACUCGCAGAAGAAGCACCGGCUAACUCCGUGCCAGCAGCCGCGGUAAUACGGAGGUGCAAGCGUUAAUCGGAAUUACUGGGCGUAAAGCGCGGCGUAGGUGGUUUGGUAAGCGAGAUGUGAAAGCCCCGGGCUUAACCUGGGAACGGCAUUUCGAACUGUCAGACUAGAGUGUGGUAGAGGGUAGUGGAAUUUCCUGUGUAGCGGUGAAAUGCGUAGAUAUAGGAAGGAACACCAGUGGCGAAGGCGGCUACCUGGACCAACACUGACACUGAGGUGCGAAAGCGUGGGGAGCAAACAGGAUUAGAUACCCUGGUAGUCCACGCCGUAAACGAUGUCAACUAGCCGUUGGGACUCUUGAAGUCUUAGUGGCGCAGCUAACGCACUAAGUUGACCGCCUGGGGAGUACGGCCGCAAGGUUAAAACUCAAAUGAAUUGACGGGGGCCCGCACAAGCGGUGGAGCAUGUGGUUUAAUUCGACGCAACGCGAAGAACCUUACCUGGCCUUGACAUCCAGAGAGCUUUCCAGAGAUGGAUUGGUGCCUUCGGGAACUCUGAGACAGGUGCUGCAUGGCCGUCGUCAGCUCGUGUCGUGAGAUGUUGGGUUAAGUCCCGUAACGAGCGCAACCCCUAUCCUUGGUUGCUAGCAGGUAAUGCUGAGAACUCCAGGGAGACUGCCGGUGACAAACCGGAGGAAGGUGGGGAUGACGUCAGGUCAUCAUGGCCCUUACGGCCAGGGCUACACACGUGCUACAAUGGCGCGUACAGAGGGCUGCCAACUCGCGAGAGUGAGCCAAUCCCUUAAAGCGCGUCGUAGUCCGGAUCGGAGUCUGCAACUCGA